AAACACCCCUCCAUGCAGUGUGGAGAGUGAAAGGGGCAUGCAAAGGCUGGAGAAGAGAAAUCCAGGGAUCUGCUACAGUGGCCACAACACCAGUGCCUGGACCUGGGCAGGAAGUGCCCAUGGGAACAGAUCUGAGCCCUGUUGUGGAGCUGGGGAAAUUGUGACCCAGAAGUGGACAGUCAUCAACUAAAAGUCACAGAGCAAGUCAAUGGGAGAGAUGGGGCUAAACUCCAGGAGUCCCUAUGUCCAGCCCAGGGUUCAGUCCCUCUGUCAAGUACCUGCUAUUGUCUGUUAAAUACUUGGAGGAGCUGAAAUUUCCAGCCUGAAGAGUAGCAGUCUCAGAGGCCUCUGUCUCCAGAUAUCUGCAGGGCUGCACCAGAUCAGAGAGAGAAACUGUGCUCUGUGCCCUCUGAGCAUGGAGCUGAGGAUGAUGAAAAGAGUCACUGGGAGGCUGGAUUUGGUUCAGUGAGAGAAAGCUGUCUAGUGAUGACAGAGAUGACCCUGAAAGGUGGUGAGCUUCCCAUUCCCAGAGGUAUGUGAAUAGAAACCUUGAGCUUCCAGAAGGAGGUGGGCAGUGAGAGGUGUUGCAGGCAUGUUUUGCCAGCCACACAUUGGACAUCCCUUGCUUAGUCAAGAAGCCACAUCCAAACCCUCGGACCCUUUCACACUUGGAGCUUUUGUUUGAAAGGUCAGACUUCAACCCUCAAAAUGAAGAUGACUUUAAAAAGCUGGAGAUGGACCAAAAAGUAAACAAAAUGCAAUUAUAAUUUCAUAGAUGGAAAAUAAAACAAAUUGUUUUAAAAAGAAGAAGGAAAUAAAAUAAUACAUAAAUGGGU